AUUGAACGCUGGCGGCAUGCUUUACACAUGCAAGUCGAACGGUAACAGGCCGCAAGGUGCUGACGAGUGGCGAACGGGGGAGUAAUGCAUCGGAACGUGCCCAGUCGUGGGGGAUAACUACUCGAAAGAGUAGCUAAUACCGCAUACGAUCUAUGGAUGAAAGCGGGGGACCGUAAGGCCUCGCGCGAUUGGAGCGGCCGAUUUCAGAUUAGGUAGUUGGUGGGGUAAAGGCUCACCAAGCCAACGAUCUGUAGCUGGUCUGAGAGGACGACCAGCCACACUGGGACUGAGACACGGCCCCGACUCCUACGGGAGGCAGCGGUGGGGAAUUUUGGGCAAUGGGCGAAAGCCUGAUCCAGCAAUGCCGCGUGCAGGAAGAAGGCCUUCUGGUUGUAAACUGCUUUUGUACGGAACGAAACGGCUCUGGUUAAUACCCGGGGCUAAUGACGGUACCGGAAGAAUAAGCACCGGCUAACUACGUG
rnacentral:rRNA from 1 species